UUUCAUCUGUUUGUGGAUGGUGUUCAGCACCAAGAAACGAUGUGUUUAAUAUCUACCUGUGUGGCAGUUCUGCAUGCAUGUUGAUGGUGUUCAGCACCAAGGACAGGUCUGUUUGUGC
rnacentral:pre_miRNA from 1 species